GAUGAAGAACGCAGCGAAAUGCGAAAAGUAAUGUGAAUUGCAGAAUCCAGUGAAUCAUCGAAUCGUUGAACGCACAUUGCGCCCGCCAGCAUUCUGGCGGGCAUGCCUGUUCGAGCGUCAUUUCAACCCUCGACCUCCCCUUGGGGAGGUCGGCGUUGGGGACCGGCAGCCCACCGCCGGCCCUGAAAUGGAGUGGCGGCCCGUCUGCGGCGACCUCUGCGUAGUAAUACAGCUCGCACCGGAACCCCGACGCGGCCACGCCGUAAAACACCCAACUUCUGAACGUUGACCUCGAAUCAGGUAGGACUACCCGCUGAACUUAAGCAUAUCAAUAAGCGGAGGA
rnacentral:misc_RNA from 1 species